rnacentral:rRNA from 1 species
UACGUAGGGGGCAAGCGUUGUCCGGAAUCAUUGGGCGUAAAGCGUGCGCAGGCGGCUUCUCAAGUCAGGGGUGAAAGCCCAGAGCUCAACUCUGGAACUGCCUUUGAGACUGAGUGGCUUGAGUACGAGAGAGGUGAGUGGAAUUCCCAGUGUAGAGGUGAAAUUCGUAGAUAUUGGGAAGAACACCGGUGGCGAAGGCGGCUCACUGGCUCGUAACUGACGCUCAUGCACGACAGCGUGGGGAUCAAACAGG